ACUGCAAGUCGAGCGGAAGAUGGAGCUUGCUCCCUGAUGUUAGCGGCGGACGGGUGAGUAACACGUGGGUAACCUGCCUGUAAGACUGGGAUAACUCCGGGAAACCGGGGCUAAUACCGGAUGGUUGUCUGAACCGCAUGGUUCAGACAUAAAAGGUGGCUUCGGCUACCACUUACAGAUGGACCCGCGGCGCAUUAGCUAGUUGGUGAGGUAACGGCUCACCAAGGCGACGAUGCGUAGCCGACCUGAGAGGGUGAUCGGCCACACUGGGACUGAGACACGGCCCAGACUCCUACGGGAGGCAGCAGUAGGGAAUCUUCCGCAAUGGACGAAAGUCUGACGGAGCAACGCCGCGUGAGUGAUGAAGGUUUUCGGAUCGUAAAGCUCUGUUGUUAGGGAAGAACAAGUGCCGUUCAAAUAGGGCGGCACCUUGACGGUACCUAACCAGAAAGCCACGGCUAACUACGUGCCAGCAGCCGCGGUAAUACGUAGGUGGCAAGCGUUGUCCGGAAUUAUUGGGCGUAAAGGGCUCGCAGGCGGUUUCUUAAGUCUGAUGUGAAAGCCCCCGGCUCAACCGGGGAGGGUCAUUGGAAACUGGGGAACUUGAGUGCAGAAGAGGAGAGUGGAAUUCCACGUGUAGCGGUGAAAUGCGUAGAGAUGUGGAGGAACACCAGUGGCGAAGGCGACUCUCUGGUCUGUAACUGACGCUGAGGAGCGAAAGCGUGGGGAGCGAACAGGAUUAGAUACCCUGGUAGUCCACGCCGUAAACGAUGAGUGCUAAGUGUUAGGGGGUUUCCGCCCCUUAGUGCUGCAGCUAACGCAUUAAGCACUCCGCCUGGGGAGUACGGUCGCAAGACUGAAACUCAAAGGAAUUGACGGGGGCCCGCACAAGCGGUGGAGCAUGUGGUUUAAUUCGAAGCAACGCGAAGAACCUUACCAGGUCUUGACAUCCUCUGACAAUCCUAGAGAUAGGACGUCCCCUUCGGGGGCAGAGUGACAGGUGGUGCAUGGUUGUCGUCAGCUCGUGUCGUGAGAUGUUGGGUUAAGUCCCGCAACGAGCGCAACCCUUGAUCUUAGUUGCCAGCAUUCAGUUGGGCACUCUAAGGUGACUGCCGGUGACAAACCGGAAGAAAGGUGGGAUGACGUCAAAUCAUCAGCCCCUUAUUGACCUGGCUACACACGUGGUACAAUGGA
rnacentral:rRNA from 1 species